CCUGAGGCCUAUCCCGACCUGGUUUAACUUUGUAGGCCUGCGUCGUUGGAAAUGCCUCAAAGAACGAAGCUGCAGUUUCGCUUUACCCGCACCGUUCUUUGCCAUGAACCCUGCGGGAUAUCGCUGCACAACAUUA